rnacentral:lncRNA from 1 species
AGGAUAUAAUGACAUCAAACUAAUGUCACUGACUGCUUCUCUCAGGAAAACAGCCUACGGGCAAGGACCUGCAAAGCCAGGAACAGCAAGGAAAAAUAAAACUACCUUCACUCGAUGACUUCUCCUCCAGCUAAGGAGACUUCUGUCAUUUAUUCUGGAACAGAACAGUCUGUAUCUUCAUCUUCAUGUCACUGCGUAUGUCAGAACCAGAAAAGUAUCUCACGGGUAGGAAAAAUACAACAAGAAGAGUGAGCACAUUCUCCUUGCCUCAUUUCCACAAAUUACUCCUAGUUCCAUCUUCCUUUAUUAUGCUGAAUGAUUUCUCUUCACUCUUCAAAUAUCUGGAGACUUGGUCAUCUCAGUGAACACUUCAUCCCCUGGACAUGGUGCAGAAGAAAGCUGGGGUUGCACUUGCAACGUUGAAGAUUUUGCUGGAGUGAAGGAAGUGCUGGAGUGAAGGAGUGAAGAAGGAGCUGGAGUGGAUCAUUUUUGGCUGCUUUCCAUCAAAGUGCUGAUCAUGGGAAAUGCCCUGCAACCCCUGUACAUUCAACACUGCUAA